rfam:Triticum aestivum genome assembly, contig: Triticum_aestivum_CS42_TGACv1_scaffold_034100_1BL
CCACUUGAAGUGAGAGUUAGAUGGAACUGAACCACCUCCGUUACAGCCGAUUGCAUGUUGAUCUGGGGUUCAGUUUCCUCUAAUAUCUCACUUUGAAUGG